AAUAAAUGAUGAACAUAUCCAGUUCUGCUACUGAACAUCAUUUGACGACUUUACCACACUAACUGAUGU